UACAGAGGGGCAAGCGUUAUUCGGAAUUAUUGGGCGUAAAGGGCGCGUAGGCGGCCUGACAAGUGGAAGGUGAAAUCCCUCGGCUCAACUGAGGAACUGCCCUCCAAACUGUUUGGCUUGAGACCGGGAGAGGUGAGUGGAAUUCCCAGUGUAGCGGUGAAAUGCGUAGAUAUUGGGAGGAACACCAGUGGCGAAGGCGGCUCACUGGACCGGAACUGACGCUGAGGCGCGAAAGCGUGGGGAGCAAACGGG
rnacentral:rRNA from 1 species